CAGUAGCCGCGGUAAUACGGAGGGUGCAAGCGUUAAUCGGAAUUACUGGGCGUAAAGCGUGCGCAGGCGGUUAUAUAAGACAGAUGUGAAAUCCCCGGGCUCAACCUGGGAACUGCAUUUGUGACUGUAUAGCUAGAGUACGGCAGAGGGGGAUGGAAUUCCGCGUGUAGCAGUGAAAUGCGUAGAUAUGCGGAGGAACACCGAUGGCGAAGGCAAUCCCCUGGGCCUGUACUGACGCUCAUGCACGAAAGCGUGGGGAGCAAACAGGAUUAGAUACCCCGGUAGUCCCUGUCUCUUAUAC
rnacentral:rRNA from 1 species